rnacentral:rRNA from 1 species
AUAUUGGCGAGAGACCGAUAGCGAACAAGUACCGUGAGGGAAAGAUGAAAAGAACUUUGGAAAGAGAGUUAAACAGUACGUGAAAUUGCUGAAAGGGAAACGCUUGAAGUCAGUCGCGUUGUCCGGGGAUCAACCUUACUUUUGUUGGGUGUACUUUCCGGGUGACGGGUCAGCAUCAAUUUUGACCGCUGGAUAAAGUGUAGAGAAAUGUGGCAUCUUCGGGUGUGUUAUAGUCUUUAUUCGCAUACAACGGUUGGGAUUGAGGGACUCAGUACGCCGCAAGGCCGGGAUUUAUCCACGUUCGUACUUAGGAUGCUGGCAUAAUGGCUUUAAUCGACCCGUCUUGA